GACGAACGCUGGCGGCGUGCUUAACACAUGCAAGUCGAACGAAGAGCGAUGGAAGCUUGCUUCUAUCAAUCUUAGUGGCGAACGGGUGAGUAACGCGUAAUCAACCUGCCCUUCAGAGGGGGACAACAGUUGGAAACGACUGCUAAUACCGCAUACGAUCUAAACUCGGCAUCGAGGAUAGAUGAAAGGUGGCCUCUACAUGUAAGCUAUCACUGAAGGAGGGGAUUGCGUCUGAUUAGCUAGUUGGAGGGGUAACGGCCCACCAAGGCGAUGAUCAGUAGCCGGUCUGAGAGGAUGAACGGCCACAUUGGGACUGAGACACGGCCCAGACUCCUACGGGAGGCAGCAGUGGGGAAUCUUCCGCAAUGGACGGAAGUCUGACGGAGCAACGCCGCGUGAGUGAUGACGGCCUUCGGGUUGUAAAGCUCUGUUAAUCGGGACGAAAGGCCUUCUUGCGAAUAGUGAGAAGGAUUGACGGUACCGGAAUAGAAAGCCACGGCUAACUACGUG
rnacentral:rRNA from 1 species